rnacentral:rRNA from 1 species
GCCGCCCUCUUUCUUCGUGCCUAAUACAUGCAAGUCGAGCGAACAGACGAGGAGCUUGCUCCUCUGACGUUAGCGGCGGACGGGUGAGUAACACGUGGAUAACCUACCUAUAAGACUGGGAUAACUUCGGGAAACCGGAGCUAAUACCGGAUAAUAUAUUGAACCGCAUGGUUCAAUAGUGAAAGACGGUUUUGCUGUCACUUAUAGAUGGAUCCGCGCCGCAUUAGCUAGUUGGUAAGGUAACGGCUUACCAAGGCAACGAUGCGUAGCCGACCUGAGAGGGUGAUCGGCCACACUGGAACUGAGACACGGUCCAGACUCCUACGGGAGGCAGCAGUAGGGAAUCUUCCGCAAUGGGCGAAAGCCUGACGGAGCAACGCCGCGUGAGUGAUGAAGGUCUUCGGAUCGUAAAACUCUGUUAUUAGGGAAGAACAAAUGUGUAAGUAACUAUGCACGUCUUGACGGUACCUAAUCAGAAAGCCACGGCUAACUACGUG